CUACGUGCCAGCAGCCGCGGUAAUACGUAGGGGGCAAGCGUUAUCCGGAUUUACUGGGUGUAAAGGGAGCGCAGACGGUUGCGCAAGUCUGAAGUGAAAUCCCGAGGCUUAACCACGGGACUGCUUUGGAAACUGUGCGACUUGAGUAUCGGAGGGGCAGGCGGAAUUCCUAGUGUAGCGGUGGAAUGCAUAGAUAUCACGCAGAACUCCGAUUGCGAAGGCAGCUUACUAAGGUACAACUGACGCUGAAGCACGAAAGCGUGGGUAUCAAACAGGAUUAGAUACCCUGGUAGUCCACGCAGUAAACGAUGAUAACUGGGCGUAUGCGAUAUACAGUAUGCUCCUAAGCGAAAGCGUUAAGUUAUCCACCUGGGGAGUACGCCGGCAACGGUGAAACUCAAAGGAAUUGACGGGGGCCCGCACAAGCGGAGGAACAUGUGGUUUAAUUCGAUGAUACGCGAGGAACCUUACCCGGGAUUGAA
rnacentral:rRNA from 1 species